rnacentral:rRNA from 1 species
GGAUUGGGAGGGUUCUACGGAACCCGUUUGGUGAAUCUAGUGCCGAGAAAAGCCUUCUAUGUGUUGAAUUUCUAGUACCCGUACCCCAAACCGACACAGGUGGGUGGGUAGAGCAUACCUAGGGGCGCGUGAUAACUCUCUCUAAGGAACUCGGCAAAAUGGCCCUGUAACUUCGGGAUAAGGGGUGCCUGCGUGAGCAGGCCGCAGUGAAAUGGCUCUGGCGACUGUUUACCAAAAACACAGGUCUCUGCUAAGUCGUAAGACGAUGUAUAGGGGCUGACUCCUGCCCAGUGCCGGAAGGUUAAGGAAGUUGGUUAGCGCAAGCGAAGCUGGCGACCGAAGCCCCGGUGAACGGCGGCCGUAACUAUAACGGUCCUAAGGUAGCGAAAUUCCUUGUCGGGUAAGUUCCGACCCGCACGAAAGGAGUAACGAUCAGAGCGCUGUCUCGGAGAGAGACACGGCGAAAUAGGAUUGUCCGUGAAGAUACGGACUACCUGCACCCGGACAGAAAGACCCUAUGAAGCUUUACUGUAACUUGGAAUUGUGUUCGGACUUUGUCUGCGCAGAAUAGGUGGGAGGCUAUGAAACGUUCCUCGCGGGGAACUGGAGCCAUCGUUGAGAUACCACUCUGGCAGAGUCUGGAUUCUAACCUACGGGGACAGUUCCAGGUGGGCAGUUUGACUGGGGCGGUCGCCUCCUAAAAUGUAACGGAGGCGCGCAAAGGUUCCCUCAGGCUGGUUGGAAAUCAGCCAUAGAGUGUAAAAGCAUAAGGGAGCUUGACUGUGAGACCUACAAGUCGAGCAGGGACGAAAGUCGGCUUUAGUGAUCCGACGGCACUGAGUGGAAGGGCCGUCGCUCAACGGAUAAAAGUUACUCUAAGGAUAACAGGCUGAUCUCCCCCAAGAGUUCACAUCGACGGGGAGGUUUGGCACCUCGAUGUCGGCUCGUCGCAACCUGGGGCGGUAGUACGUCCCAAGGGUUGGGCUGUUCGCCCAUUAAAGCGGCACGUGAGCUGGGUUCAGAACGUCGUGAGACAGUUCGGUCCAUAUCCGGUGUAGGCGUAGGAGCAUUGAAAGGAUCUCUCCUUAGUACGAGAGGACCGGGAGGGACGUACCUCUGGUGUACCUGUUAUCGUGCCAACGGUAAACGCAGGGUAGCCAUGUACGGAGUGGAUAACCGCUGAAAGCAUCUAAGUGGGAAGCCCACCUUAAGAUGAGUGCUCCCUUGAGGCCACGGGAAGACGACCCGUUUGAUAGGCGCUAGGUGGAAGUGCAGUAAUGCAUGCAGCCGAGGCGUACUAAUAGGCCGAUGGC